UACGUAGGUGGCAAGCGUUGUCCGGAUUUACUGGGCGUAAAGCGCGCGCAGGCGGUCGAUUUAGUCGCGUGUGAAAGCCCCCGGCUCAACUGGGGAGGGUCACGCGAUACUGAUCGACUCGAAGGCAGGAGAGGGUAGUGGAAUUCCCGGUGUAGUGGUGAAAUGCGUAGAUAUCGGGAGGAACACCAGUGGCGAAGGCGACUACCUGGCCUGUUCUUGACGCUGAGGCGCGAAAGCUAGGGGAGCGAACGGG
rnacentral:rRNA from 1 species